CUGCAGCCACAUCAUUUUGGAAGACCGGUUCUCAUAAAAUCCUCGUAGUUAAGCAACGUCAAGCCUGCUCACUACCUAGAUGGGUGACCACUUGGGAAUGUGAGAUGCUGCAUG